GAUGAACGCUGGCGGCGUGCCUAAUACAUGCAAGUCGAGCGAACGGACGAGAAGCUUGCUUUUCUGAUGUUAGCGGCGGACGGGUGAGUAACACGUGGAUAACCUUCCUAUAAGACUGGGAUAACUUCGGGAAACCGGAGCUAAUACCGGAUAAUAUUUUGAACCGCAUGGUUCAAAAGUGAAAGACGGUCUUGCUGUCACUUAUAGAUGGAUCCGCGCUGCAUUAGCUAGUUGGUAAGGUAACGGCUUACCAAGGCAACGAUGCAUAGCCGACCUGAGAGGGUGAUCGGCCACACUGGAACUGAGACACGGUCCAGACUCCUACGGGAGGCAGCAGUAGGGAAUCUUCCGCAAUGGGCGAAAGCCUGACGGAGCAACGCCGCGUGAGUGAUGAAGGUCUUCGGAUCGUAAAACUCUGUUAUUAGGGAAGAACAUAUGUGUAAGUAACUGUGCACAUCUUGACGGUACCUAGUCAGAAAGCCACGGCUAACUACGUG
rnacentral:rRNA from 1 species